GCCUGGCUAACUCAGUCGGUAGAGCAUGAGACUCUUAAUCUCAGGGUGGUGGGUUCAUGCCCCACGUUGGGCG
rnacentral:tRNA from 2 species